AUCGAACGCUGGCGGCAGGCCUAACACAUGCAAGUCGAACGAGAGGCGGACGGGUGAGUAAUGUCUGGAAAACUGCCUGAUGGAGGGGGAAAACGACUGGAAACGGUAGCUAAUACCGCAUACCAUGGGAUGUGCCCAGAUGGGAUGAGCUAGUUGGUGGGGUAACGGCUAACCAAGGCGACGAUCCCUAGCUGGUCUGAGAGGAUGACCGGCCACACUGGAACUGAGACACGGUCCAGACUCCUACGGGAGGCAGCAGUGGGGAAUAUUGCACAAUGGGCGCAAGCCUGAUGCAGCCAUGCCGCGUGUAUGAAGAAGGCCUUCGGGUUGUAAAGUACUUUCAGCGGGGAGGCGUUACCCGCAGAAGAAGCACCGGCUAACUCCGUGCCAGCAGCCGCGGUAAUUC
rnacentral:rRNA from 1 species